rnacentral:tRNA from 1 species
GGGUCGUUAGCACAGUUGGUUAGAGCAGAGGACUCAUAAUCCAUUGGUCCACGGUUCAAGUCCGUGACGACCCACCA